rnacentral:rRNA from 1 species
GACGAACGCUGGCGGCGUGCCUAAUGCAUGCAAGUCGUACGCAGUCGCUUCGGCGGCUGAGUGGCGCACGGCUGAGGAACACGUGAGUACCGACCCCGCCGUGGGGGAUAACCGGCCGAAAGGCCAGCUAAUCCCGCAUACGCUCCCGGCUCGCCGGGAGGAAAGCCGCAACGCGCGGCGGGACGGGCUUGCGGCCCAUCAGGUAGUCGGCGGGGUAAGCGCCCACCGAGCCGAUGACGGGUAGCUGGUCUGUGAGGACAACCAGCCAGACUGGGACUGAGAUACGGCCCAGACUCCUACGGGAGGCAGCAGCAAGGGAUUUUCCCCAAUGGGCGCAAGCCUGAGGGAGCAACGCCGCGUGCGGGAUGACGGCCUUCGGGUUGUAAACCGCUUUUCGGGGGGAAGACCAUGACGGUACCCCCGGAAUAAGCCCCGGCUAACUCUGUGCCGGCAGCCGCGGUAAUACAGAGGGGGCAAGCGUUGUCCGGACUGACUGGGCGUAAAGCGCACGCAGGCGGUCGCGGGCGUCGGUGCUGAAAGUCCACCGCUUAACGGUGGAUCGCGUGCCGAUACGCCGCGACUGGAGCCAUGUAGAGGUCCGUGGAAUUGCCGGUGUAGUGGUGAUAUGCGUAGAUAUCGGCAGGAACACCCAAGGGGAAGCCAACGGACUGGGCAUGGGCUGACGCUCAUGUGCGACAGCGUGGGGAGCGAACUGGAUUAGAUACCCAGGUAGUCCACGCCGUAAACGAUGGACGCUCGGUGUCUGGGGGCUAUCAACGUCCCUGGGCGCCUCAGCUAACGCGCAAGCGUCCCGCCUGGGAACUACGAGCGCAAGCUUA